GACGUAGGGUGCGAGCGUUGUCCGGAUUUAUUGGGCGUAAAGAGCGUGUAGGCGGCCAGGUAGGUCUGGUGUGAAAACUCGAGGCUUAACCUCGAGAUGUCAUCGGAAACCAUCUGGCUAGAGUCCGGAGGAGGAGAGUGGAAUUCCUGGUGUAGCGGUGAAAUGCGCAGAUAUCAGGAAGAACACCAAUGGCGAAAGCAGCUCUCUGGGACGGUACUGACGCUGAGACGCGAAAGCGUGGGGAGCGAACAGG
rnacentral:rRNA from 1 species